ensembl:lncRNA
UAAAAUCACUCCUUUCUAAUCCUCUGCUGUAUGUUCAAACCUGAGGCCUUAAAUAGAAACACACAAGUAUCUGAUUGAAGGAACUUCUGCAGAGUCCUGGUUCCAGAACAUGAUGAUAGAAUUAUAGACAAACUUUAACAAAAGCUGCCUGAGAGUUUACAGCUUUUUAUGUUAGAUUUCUUCAGUAAUUUAAUGAGUUAUCAGCAAAAAUCAAGUGUUCAUUUGAUGAACUUCAUUUCCUAAAACAUCCAGAAUUGGAGCUCAUAUCUUUGGCAGCUGUAAAGUUUCUGCUCCUUCAAAGUUCACAACACAAUGAAUGAAUUCCUAAAACACUCUCAAUGCUGGAGAGCUUUUGAUGCUGAAGCAGUGACCAGUUUUUCUGUUUCUUCUCUGGAGAUGCACAAUGAGGGACGUCUGCAGAGACUGAGAAAGAGUCUCACCACAUCCUGACAUGAGGAAAAAGACUUUAUUGAAGACUACAAUGAGAAAAACUAUCAGACAGCAGACGGCUGCAUUCAAGCUGCUGAAUUCAUGGAUGAAUCAUCUGGCACUAGAGAGGAAGACCAUCAAACAUCCAUGUCAGCUGAUGGAGGUCCAAGAGUCUCACCCAACAAACAACCUACAGAGUGAAGACCUCCAAUCUGAUUGGACGGCCUCCUAUUCAGCCACACGUGUGAACAAAUGCCUCUAAGCUGAUUUGUUUUCUAAAAUAAAUCUAGUUUGAGUCCUAAUCUAUGCCUGUGUGUUUGCUUCUUUACACUGCUGUUAACAGUUUAGGCUGUUAGAUUGUUCCAGAUAAGACAAGUACAAGAUUCUUCAGAGCCGUUCUACCACGAGCCUGACAGGAAGAACUCC